rnacentral:rRNA from 1 species
UACGUAGGGGGCAAGCGUUGUCCGGAUUUAUUGGGCGUAAAGAGCGUGUAGGCGGCUUUACAGGUCCGUUGUGAAAACUCGAGGCUCAACCUCGAGACGCCGGUGGAAACCGUAAAGCUAGAGUCCGGAAGAGGAGAGUGGAAUUCCUGGUGUAGCGGUGAAAUGCGCAGAUAUCAGGAGGAACACCGAUGGCGAAGGCAGUUCUCUGGGCCGUAACUGACGCUGAGGAGCGAAAGCGUGGGGAGCGAACAGG